rnacentral:rRNA from 1 species
UACGGGGGGUGCAAGCGUUAUCCGGAUUCACUGGGUUUAAAGGGUACGUAGGCGGACUAGUAAGUCAGUGGUGAAAUCCUGCAGCUAAACUGUAGAACUGCCAUUGAAACUGCUAGUCUUGAGUUCGGUUGAUGUGGACGGAAUGUAGCAUGUAGCGGUGAAAUGCUUAGAUAUGCUACAGAACACCGAUUGCGAAGGCAGUUCACAAAACCGAUACUGACGCUGAGGUACGAAAGCGUGGGGAGCGAACAGG